rnacentral:rRNA from 1 species
UACGAAGGGGGCUAGCGUUGUUCGGAAUUACUGGGCGUAAAGCGCGCGCAGGCGGCCAUUCAAGUCAGGGGUGAAAGCCCGGAGCUCAACUCCGGAACUGCCUCUGAGACUGUGUGGCUUGAGUACGGGAGAGGUGAGUGGAAUUCCCAGUGUAGAGGUGAAAUUCGUAGAUAUUGGGAAGAACACCGGUGGCGAAGGCGGCUCACUGGCCCGUUACUGACGCUCAGGCGCGACAGCGUGGGGAUCAAACAGG